rnacentral:rRNA from 1 species
CCUACGGGUGGCAGCAGUGAGGAAUCUUGGUCAAUGGGCGAGAGCCUGAACCAGCCAAGUCGCGUGAGGGAGUACUGCCCUAUGGGUUGUAAACCUCUUUUGUCGGGGAGCAAAAGCCGGACGUGUCCGGCUGUGAGAGUACCCGAAGAAAAAGCAUCGGCUAACUCCGUGCCAGAAGCCGCGGUAAUACGGAGGAUGCGAUCGUUAUCCGGAUUUAUUGGGUUUAAAGGGUGCGCAGGCGGAUUUUUAGGUUUGCGGGAAAAUCGUGGGGCCCAACCCCAUCCAGCCGUUGAAACUGGGGAUCUAGAGUGUGCGAGAGGAGUGCGGAAUGCGUGGUGUAGCGGUGAAAUGCGUAGAUAUAACGCAGAACCCCGGUUGCGAAGGCAGCAUACCGGUGCACAACUGACGCUCAGGCACGAAAGCGUGGGUAUCGAACAGGAUUAGAUACCCCUGUAGUC